ACAGGCAGAACCUGAUAUGUAAAUGAGCAGAGCAAAUGAAACUAACUUUUGACGACCCGAUGAUCAUUCAGACUCUGUUUCUAUUGAGAGAUAAAAGGCUGGUUGAAUGAGUUGCCUAUGAAAGCUACUUCAUCUGUAAGAAAACAGGCGGCUGCACCAGUGACUGGGUCAGUUCUUUAAAAUGAGUCUCUCUGGGGAGAGAAAGGAGGGGGGCCCUGCCUCUAAAAUGAGUGUCUCUGGGGAGAGAAAGAAGG